ensembl:lncRNA
CUCCCAGACUAGCAAUGGAGGACAAAAAUUAAGAGAAUAUUAAAUAUAUUUAUUUGUGUUCCAAAAAUUUUAGUUUGUAUGGGUCUGGAACAGCAUGGGGGAGAGUAAAUUAUGACCAUUUUCAUUUUUUGAUGAACUAACCCUUUGAAGAGCAGCCCUCCACGUACAUGAAAAUUUGUGAGGCCACUGAUGAAGAACAGGUGGUGACUGGGAUGAAUGCUGGUCAAAGAAGAGAAUGUCCUUUCCUCUAAACUGAUGCAGCAGUGGUUUUAAAGGAGGACACUGCCCUGGGUGAUGUAGAAGAUGUCACAUGCUGUGCUGAUGGGGCUUCUUCAUGACUACAUCAAUUAUGCCAAAGAGAUCAUGAAAGUUGACAGUGAUGCAUGAUCUGUAUUCAUGGACUAUGAAACAAACUAUCGUUGUGGUUGUUCCCUGGUGUGCGUCCUGUUCUUGUGUCUCGUCAAGCCCCAUUCUCCAUUGGAUUUCGUCAGUUCUUCGUGUCGUUUGGAUUUCGUCAGUUCCUCGUGUCGUCUGGAUGUUCAACGGUUCCUGGGGUUCUCUUCACGCUCUUCACCGCACCACCACCGGAUCGCCAUCUCGUCCCUGCUUCACCACCACCACCUGAGUGUUUGUCCCCGGCCUGUGUCUUUACUCUGACCAUCAUUAUAAUUAAACUUGUUUACUUGCAUCUUGCAUCCUCUCAUUAUUCAUCACAGUUUGUCCCUUUUUGGCCCAGCGCUGGGUUGCCAAAAUAACCCAAAUUGGGUUGUUUUCAACCCAGCAGUUUUUAGAGUGUGUGUACCCCAUUUCGGUGGAUGUUGGGAGAGAGAAAUACGCUCCUUAAAGGAUGCACUUCGAGUCACCAUUGGCACCUAGACAGUUACAGAAGAAGUACUAAGAGCUGUCUUCAUAGAGAUAGAGGGCAUCCUAAACUCCAAGCUCAUUGGCUACACCUCUUCGGACAUUGCUGAUCCAGAUCCAGUGACUCCUAACAUCUUUCUGACAAGUGGUAUAUAAGGACUCUAAACUCCUAAGCUGUAGGAGAUGGAGACAUAGCCAGGUCUUGGCUGACCACUUCUGGAUCAUAGUCAAGACUUACUCUCGACCUGUAACCAGGAUUAUUUGUUUACCCCCUCUCCCUGACUAGCAAAGAUUAAUAUUGACAAAUUCACACUGUGAAUUUGGGGGUGACUGUAGAAUGUGUUCUCCUUAAACAGUAUUAAUCCAAAUCAGAGUAGUUUUUAUCAAUUGUGCAUGUGCGUGCAUCACACCAACCACACAUCUAUGCACAUUCAAUAAAGACAUUUUGGAUUAUCUGAGCGAGACAUCAUUGUUCUGACCAGACAAUGUAACCUUCACCCAAACCCAGACUAGCAAUAGAAAUUCUCAAGAUUCAAAAGGUUUUUUUUAAGCUAAUAUACAU